rnacentral:lncRNA from 1 species
GUCUUCUAACCAGUAAGUUCCUGGUCUGGAGACCUUGACGACUUUGUAAGGACCUUCCCACGUUGGGCCGAGCUUCCCCGCAUUUGGUUCUUUAGUUGACAGGGUUACCCUCCGCAAGACCAGGUCGCCAGGAAGGAACGAUCGGUGUUUGACCCUUUGAUUGUAGUAUUUGGCGACUUGGCAUUUGUAAGCUGCUUGGCGUAGUUCAGCCUUUUCUCUUUUCUCUUCGAGGAGAUCC